UACGUAGGGGGCAAGCGUUGUCCGGAUUUACUGGGCGUAAAGAGCGUGUAGGCGGCCAGGCAGGUCUGUUGUGAAAACUGGAGGCUCAACUUCCAGACGUCGACAGAAACCGCUUGGCUAGAGUCCGGAAGAGGAGAGUGGAAUUCCUGGUGUUGCGGUGAAAUGCGCAGAUAUCAGGAAGAACACCGAUGGCGAAGGCAGCUCUCUGGGACGGUACUGACGCUGAGACGCGAAAGCGUGGGGAGCGAACAGG
rnacentral:rRNA from 1 species